CCUACGGGUGGCUGCAGUGAGGGAUAUUGGUCAAUGGGGGAAACUCUGACCCAGCAACGCCGCGUGAGUGAAGACGGUUUUCGGAUUGUAAACCUCUGUCCUCUGUGAUGAUCACGAUGAUGGUAGCGCAAUAAGAUCCCGCUAACAACGUGCCACCAGCCGCCGGAAUACGUAGGGGGCGAGCGUCGUCCGGAUUUACUGCUUGUAAAGGGUGCGUAGGCGGUCUUGCAAGUCAGCAGUGAAAUCCUUGGGCUUAACCCGGGCACUGCUGUUGAAACUACUGGACUUGAGUGGAGGAGGGGUAGGCGGAAGUCCCGGUGUAGCGGUGGAAUGCGUAGAGAUCGGGAGGAACACUAGUGGCGAAGGCGGGCUACUGGGCUUUAACUGACGCUGAGGCACGAAGGCGAGGGGAGCGAAAAGGAUUAGAUACCCGGGUAGUC
rnacentral:rRNA from 1 species